AGAAAAAGAAAAUUUUAAAAUUGUACCUUUUGUAUCAGGGGUAAUCAAAAAUAAAAAUAGGACUAAUCGAUUUAACCGGACCUUUUUAUUUGCUUGUUGUAGUAUUUAAGAGUAAAAAUUUUUAAGGGAUAAAAAGUCUUCGUUGGUUUUGGUAUCUAAUUGUUUUAAAUUUUAGGGGUUAAGCUCUUAUAGGGUUUAUGUUAAAAAAUAAUUAAAAAAACUAGGCUUUAAAUUAGCCAAGUUAGUAUAUUGUUUUAAAUAAUUUUUUUUUAAGAAAAUUUUUGUAAAGUUAUAAGUACUAUACUAGUAUUUAAUAUUUAGUAAAAAUAAUGGUUGUAUUGAAUAAAUAAUGAAAUUAAGAAAUAACUCGGGUUAAGUUAGAAUGUUUAACAAAAACAUUUUUAUUCGGUUAAAAAAUAGUAAGGCCUGCCCAGUGAAAAUUUAACGGCUGCGGUAUUUUGACUGUGCUAAGGUAGCAUAAUCAUUUGUUUCUUAAUUGGUAGCUGGAAUGAAAGGUUAAACUAGCUUAUGUAGUUUGUAAAGUUAGUUAAGAAAUUAAAGUCAAGGUAAGAAUUCUUUGAUUUUCUAGGGGACGAUAAGACCCUAGAAGCUUUAUAAUUAGAGUAUUUUUUAGUAGUUAAUAUUAAUUUGUUUCACUGGGGCGGUGUAAGUAAAUGAACUAUUGUAAAUUUAGUAGAUCCUUAUUAUUAAGAAAAGAUGGAAAAGUUACUCUAGGGAUAACAGUGCGAUAUUUUUGGAGAGACCUUAUCGAUAAAAAUGUUUGCAACCUCGAUGUUGAAUUAAGAUUUCUACAUGAAGCAGAAAGUAUGGAAGAGGGUUUGUUCAACC
rnacentral:rRNA from 1 species